rnacentral:sRNA from 1 species
UGCAUUUGAAGCCCAUGAGGAUGAGAACCUCCGGGGGCGGGGAGGGUCGACUCGAGCGAAGCGAGAGAACGUUGCGCCAGCAACCGCCCGCAGGGCGAGCCACGAAGUGGCGAGUAAUCCUCUAUCACCGACCA